rnacentral:rRNA from 1 species
UUUGUGCAGUAUUAAUUAUUAAGAUUAAUUCUGUCUUAAAUUUCAAAUUAGUUGUUAGGUAAUAUUAAAUAUAAGUUUUUGUGGGAUUUAAUAAUUUACCUAAAAGGUAUUUAUUUAUUUUUGUAUUUUUAGUUUUUAUUAUUGAUUAUUGGUUAUAUAAUUAUAAAGUCAGUUAACUUAUUUAGAAUUGUUUAAGGUUGUGCCAGCAUACGCGGUUAUACAAUUUAAUUCGUAUUAAUUAUUUUGGUUAUUUAUUUAUUAAUGUCGUUUUAAGUUUAAUUUAUUUUUAUAGGGUGAAAUUUUUAAUUAUUUAA